rnacentral:misc_RNA from 1 species
GGCGGUCGGUCAGCGGGGCGUUCUCCCACCUGUAGCGACUCAGAGCCUCCAAGCUCAUGGCCUCCUUAGGAGCGAACCCAAGGAGGACACCGCAGGGACCGAGACCUGGGGCGGCCUCCUCCGGCUUCCCCAGCCCGGCCCCAGUGCCGGGCCCCAGGGAGGCCGAGGAGGAGGAAGUCGAGGAGGAGGAGGAGCUGGCCGAGAUCCAUCUGUGUGUGCUGUGGAAUUCAGGAUACUUGGGCAUUGCCUACUAUGAUACUAGUGACUCCACUAUCCACUUCAUGCCAGAUGCCCCAGACCACGAGAGCCUCAAGCUUCUCCAGAGAGUUCUGGAUGAGAUCAAUCCCCAGUCUGUUGUUACGAGUGCCAAACAGGAUGAGAAUAUGACUCGAUUUCUGGGAAAGCUUGCCUCCCAGGAGCACAGAGAGCCUAAAAGACCUGAAAUCAUAUUUUUGCCAAGUGUGGAUUUUGGUCUGGAGAUAAGCAAACAACGCCUCCUUUCUGGAAACUACUCCUUCAUCCCAGACGCCAUGACUGCCACUGAGAAAAUCCUCUUCCUCUCUUCCAUUAUUCCCUUUGACUGCCUCCUCACACCCCCAGGAGAUUUAAGAUUUACCCCGAUUCCACUGCUGAUCCCCUCCCAGGUUCGAGCACUUGGAGGGCUGCUGAAGUUCCUGGGUCGAAGAAGAAUCGGGGUUGAACUGGAAGACUAUAAUGUCAGCGUCCCCAUCCUGGGCUUUAAGAAAUUUAUGUUGACUCAUCUGGUGAACAUAGAUCAAGACACUUACAGUGUUCUACAGAUUUUUAAGAGUGAGUCUCACCCCUCAGUGUACAAAGUGGCCAGUGGACUGAAGGAGGGGCUCAGCCUCUUUGGAAUCCUCAACAGAUGCCACUGUAAGUGGGGAGAGAAGCUGCUCAGGCUAUGGUUCACACGUCCGACUCAUGACCUGGGGGAGCUCAGUUCUCGUCUGGACGUCAUUCAGUUUUUUCUGCUGCCCCAGAAUCUGGACAUGGCUCAGAUGCUGCAUCGGCUCCUGGGUCACAUCAAGAACGUGCCUCUGAUUCUGAAACGCAUGAAGUUGUCCCACACCAAGGUCAGCGACUGGCAGGUUCUCUACAAGACUGUGUACAGUGCCCUGGGCCUGAGGGAUGCCUGCCGCUCCCUGCCGCAGUCCAUCCAGCUCUUUCGGGACAUUGCCCAAGAGUUCUCUGAUGACCUGCACCAUAUCGCCAGCCUCAUUGGGAAAGUAGUGGACUUUGAGGGCAGCCUUGCUGAAAAUCGCUUCACAGUCCUCCCCAACAUAGAUCCUGAAAUUGAUGAGAAAAAGCGAAGACUGAUGGGACUUCCCAGUUUCCUUACUGAGGUUGCCCGCAAGGAGCUGGAGAAUCUGGACUCCCGUAUUCCUUCAUGCAGUGUCAUCUACAUCCCUCUGAUUGGCUUCCUUCUUUCUAUUCCCCGCCUGCCUUCCAUGGUAGAGGCCAGUGACUUUGAGAUUAAUGGACUGGACUUCAUGUUUCUCUCAGAGGAGAAGCUGCACUAUCGUAGUGCCCGAACCAAGGAGCUGGAUGCAUUGCUGGGGGACCUGCACUGCGAGAUCCGGGACCAGGAGACGCUGCUGAUGUACCAGCUACAGUGCCAGGUGCUGGCACGAGCAGCUGUCUUAACCCGAGUAUUGGACCUUGCCUCCCGCCUGGACGUCCUGCUGGCUCUUGCCAGUGCUGCCCGGGACUAUGGCUACUCAAGGCCGCGUUACUCCCCACAAGUCCUUGGGGUACGAAUCCAGAAUGGCAGACAUCCUCUGAUGGAACUCUGUGCCCGAACCUUUGUGCCCAACUCCACAGAAUGUGGUGGGGACAAAGGGAGGGUCAAAGUCAUCACUGGACCCAACUCAUCAGGGAAGAGCAUAUACCUCAAACAGGUAGGCUUGAUCACAUUCAUGGCCCUGGUAGGCAGCUUUGUGCCAGCAGAGGAGGCCGAAAUUGGGGCAGUAGACGCCAUCUUCACACGAAUUCAUAGCUGCGAAUCCAUCUCCCUUGGCCUCUCCACCUUCAUGAUCGACCUCAACCAGGUGGCGAAAGCAGUGAACAAUGCCACUGCACAGUCGCUGGUCCUUAUUGAUGAAUUUGGAAAGGGAACCAACACGGUGGAUGGGCUCGCGCUUCUGGCCGCUGUGCUCCGACACUGGCUGGCACGUGGACCCACAUGCCCCCACAUCUUUGUGGCCACCAACUUUCUGAGCCUUGUUCAGCUACAACUGCUGCCACAAGGGCCCCUGGUGCAGUAUUUG